UAUCCAUUUUUUUAAUAAUUAUUUAAAAUAUAAAUUACGUCGUCGAGGUUACACUUUCUCCGUUCGUUUCUUCCUCGGAAUUCUGUGCGAUUGUGUUUCUCUCUAUGCGUCUCAUUCCAUGGCGUUUUCUGUGCAUUCCAGAGCAAGAAGUACUACACUAAGGUGCUGAGGCUGUCGGAAUCAUUCAGUGGUAUCAAGGAUGUUAAUCUGCAGUUGGCAGCAACCUCUUCAAAGGAACUUGUUGAAGAUCCUCUGAAAUCAGUAGAGCAAUCCAAGCGCUGGAAGAUUAAGAGUUGCUAUGGUGAUAUUGGCUUUCAGUACAGAAACGAUGAGACGAUUGCUUACGUCGCCUCCCGUUCUUAACGAGGCCUAAAGAACUUGCCACUUAUUCAUGGUUAUGACAGCAUUCAGGCGCUUAACAAAGAUAUUAGUAAGUGAGAGAGAGAACAUGACCUUGUUAUUGCUUCUUAUGCACUUGGAGAGAUACCGUCAUUGAAGGACAGGGUAACCACUGUACGCCAGCUUUGGAAUCUCACGAAAGAUGUUCUGGUCUUGGUUGAACCUAGAACACCUCAUGGAUCUAAUAUCAUAUCUCGAAUCCGAUCUAAUAUAUUAUGGAUGGAAAAAAAGGAAAUGGUAUAAAUCUGAAAACAACAAGAAUAUGUCUUCUAAGGACUUAGUAACUCAAAAAUGCGGUGCAUAUGUAGUUGCUCCUGUGAGUAUAACAGGUUCUUUCUCUGUUCUCUUGGUUUUAUAAUUUUGAAAUACUCCACCCCUACUUACCUUUUUUGAUAUAUGUAUAAUUUUUUCCUCGGUACUAAUCUGCUUAAUAUUCUGUACUUGCUUCUAUCUUUCUAAUCAGUGUCCUCAUGAUGGAAAAUGUCCAUUAGAGAAUUCUGGGAAGUAUUGCCAUUUUGUUCAGUGGUUGGAGAGGACAUCUACGCAAUGAGCUUACAAGAGGAUCUAAUAAAGUUGAACACACAAGAUAUUGUUCCAUACCAAGAAGUGGAUCCCGAUACAUAUGAUUCUGAUGUCAUGGAAACUGAAACUCUUGAUGAAGAUGGAGAAGAGGGAGGAGAGGAACAAGGAGAUUAAGCGCUUGCUGAUCUUGGUGGUGGUUGGGGCAGGAUUGUAUUUUCACCAAUUCGAAGGGGCAGGCAUGUAUCGAUGGAUAUUUGUCGAUCGACAAAACUGGAUGCCUCGGAGGGAUCGUUGAGCGAGUCAUUGUAACACAGAGUAAGAAUCCUACUUCACAUCAUCAAGCUCGAAGAAGAAGUCUAGAGUUAAACCGUUCACACAUUGAUUUGGAGGGUCAAAUCAAGUCAUGGAUGGCUCAUUUGAUCAAGAGCACGUGUCUUAACCAGUCGAGUUAUGAGUCAUGCUUGGGUUGACACUGAUGACUCGUUGUCUGGUUGCCGGCUGAGUAGCUGUUGAUAAGAAUCAUCUUCAACCUCUUCAAUUCUCUCUCCAUUUUCAGAACAAUUCCACGACCCUUCAUA